AGAGAAGUAUUUAAAAAAUAAAACCUAAUUUGCAAUUAGAAAUUGCUUUUUGCCUUUUCUA
rnacentral:tRNA from 1 species